UAUGAUUGAGCCUCAUGGCUCUGCUUCUGGCAGACGUGGACGUAAGACUCCUCGAGAGUCAGAUACUCUCGAGGAGCGAGAAAGAAAGAGGCUGCGAGAUAUCUUUGCAGAACCAUCUGACGAAGAGUCUUUUAAGGGGUUCACGGAGAGAAUGGAGGAAGAGCUGGUUAGCUCGGAAGAGGAUGAGAUGGAUUGGACUCGGCUUUGACCUUCCGUCGUCUUCUUGACGGACGCCAUCUGCUACUCUGGAUUUACGGACUGAAAACUGACUACGGGCUCGCUUUCUCCUAUUGAACUUGGAAAACUGCAAACGUCUGAUUCUGCCUCUCGACCUACGGAACGAACUGGGACUACGCUACUGCUUCAAUCCUUGGCUGCUGAGUUUGUAUUGGAAAUUUGCCUUGCUGUGUGAAGGAGUGACUCCUAGUUACUCAAAACAUAGUGCUGGCAGCAGAGAGGCAAUCUGCUGCCAAUUAGUUGCAUUCUUUUGAACUCUUUGUUUCCCAGCUUCUGUUUGUUUUUCCCCAGGCUGAAGCAAGCUGUUUUGAUUUUACCCGGAUUAAACUCCGGUUUAAUCCGGUUUAUCUUUUGAACGUUUUUCUUGCCCCUUUUUGUUUUUAAAGGCUAAAGUUGCCUUGCCCUUGUCUUUUACGGGCAUUUUGAGUUCUGUAAAUCCAAUAAACUCUGUUAUCUUUGA